GGAANGGUGGCUGAGCACGGUUGAAAGCACUGGUCUUGAAAACCAGCAAUGGGGCAACUCAUUCGUGGGUUCGAAUCCCACCCNUUCCGCCA
rnacentral:tRNA from 1 species